rnacentral:rRNA from 1 species
GACAGAGGGUGCAAGCGUUGUUCGGAUUUAUUGGGCGUAAAGCGCGCGUAGGCGGACCGGUAAGUUGAAUGUGAAAGCCCUGAGCUCAACUCAGGAAGUGCAUUCAAUACUGCUGGCCUUGAGUCCCGGAGAGGGUGGUAGAAUUCCCAGUGUAGAGGUGAAAUUCGUAGAUAUUGGGAGGAAUACCGGUGGCGAAGGCGACCACCUGGGACGGAGACUGACGCUGAGGUGCGAAAGCGUGGGUAGCAAACAGG